rnacentral:misc_RNA from 1 species
GGUCCCUGAGUUAGUAUUUUCUUCUACGCGAGCUCUAUUUUCUUUUCCGUUUUCUGUUUUUCCAGUCAGCUCUUUAAUAAUCCCAAUUCCACGCUCACAAGACCCUCUAAUCAUGAAAAUCAAUUAAUUUAGAGUUCAAAUAAAGAAAAUCAUGAGUCGAAACGAGUUUCGAUUCUUCUUGUCCUGCAACAUCAAUCUCCGGGUGACCUUUCGCAUCGAGAGAUUAGAAGGAUUGUUGCUUUCUACCAAAUCUCCUAAUUCAGGAACUGAUCCCGCAACAGAGGAGAGAAAAGCGGGGCUCUACGUGGAGUGUGCAUUGUACAUUGAUGGUGCUCCAUUUGGCCUUCCCAUAAGAACAAGGUUAGAGUCCUCUGGGCCAUCGUAUUGCUGGAAUGAGCUGAUUUCACUUAGUACUAAAUAUCGAGACUUAACUGCACAUUCCCAGCUUGCUGUAACUGUUUGGGAUGUUUCACGUGGGAAAGAUGAGGCUUUAAUUGGUGGGGCUACUAUUCUUCUUUUCAACAGUAGAAUGCAACUCAAAACAGGCAAGCAAAAGCUUAGGCUUUGGCCAGGAAAAGGAGCUGAUGGAUCAUUUCCAACAACUACUCCUGGAAAGGUUCCUGAUUGCAGCUAUGUUUUCAACAAAGAUGUGAGAUAUGUUCUCCAAGAUAAUUUCUGCCAUGUGUUUUACUCUGCAUAAUUGUGGAAUAGGUACCCAGGCAUGAGCGUGGGGAGUUGGAGCGUUUAGAAAAGCUUGUGAAUAAAUAUGAGAGGGGACAGAUUCAGACAUUCAGUGCAUUGAUUGGAUUGACUGUCUUACAUUCAAAGCUAUGGAGAAAAUCAAGGAACGUGAGAGCUGUAGAAAUGGAAGUUCUCAUUUAUACUUGGUCAUUGAUUUCUGCAGUUUUGAACAUCGAGUUGUUUUUCAGGAGUCUGGAGCAAAUUUCUUAUUACCAUCUCCUAUAGCUUCAACAAAUGAACUUGUUAUUGUGUGGGACCCAGAACUGGGAAAGAUAAAUCCCUCUGAGCAUAAGCAGCUAAAAUUGGCUAGGAGUCUAACUCGUGGUAUUGUUGACAGGGAUCUGAAGCCAAGCUCCAAUGAACGAAAGUAAACUUAAAAAUUCCUGUUGUGGAAGAUGCAAAUAAUUGCUUGUUAACUCUAGUUGGAAUUAUCUGAAGUUAAUUAUACUUCUCUAUUCAGUCUUGCCAUUGGCCUAUACUGAGCAUCUCACUUACACAUUGACAGUGUCCGUGUUGGUGUGUCCAUAGUUUAGUGCUUCAUUAGUAAUUGUUGGAUGUCGAUACAUUUAACUGAAUUUGUACAAAGGAUUCCUUUUGAGGUUUUGUGCAAUGUGCUAGCUAGAUUAUCUGCGACAUAACUGAUGACUAAAAGUUUUCUAGGUUUUGAUGUGUCAUCAUGUAUUGAUUAGGUCAUUUGUACCAUUUUGUCUCAGGUCAAUACAAAGAAUUCUAAAAUAUCCUCCAACAAGGACUUUGAAUGGAGAUGAGAGACAGCUUCUUUGGAAAUUCCGUUUCUCCUUGAUGUCUGAGAAGAGGGCUCUCACAAAGUUUUUACGAUGUGUUGAAUGGAGCGAUGUUCAGGUUAGCAUUAUUUUAUUUUCUCUGUGGAUCAUAUGCCUUGUAAUCUAAUAUAUAGGUCAACUAGUUGAAACGAUCCUUUUACUUUUUCUUCUGUUACUAACUUCCUUUUCUCAUGCAUAAAACUUUGGAUCUCGACUUCAUGCAAAUAUGCAGGUUCGAAAAAGAUGGCAAGAUUUUGCACCAGAUAUUGGUUCAGUAGUUGGUUUAGAGUAAUCGAUCAUAUCAUCAUCUACUGAUCUUAAUGAUAGUGAUUUUAAUCUGCUAGUGUCAUCCUAUUAGUUUAUGCCUUUUAUGUUGUUAGUAAACCAGAUAUUGGUCAUUUAUGAAGAUUGUUAUCCUUAUUGAUGCAUUUUCAGGAAGCAAAACAGGCAUUAGAAAUGAUGGGUAGAUGGGAAAUGAUUGAUGUGUGUGAUGCACUGGAGCUUCUGUCGCCUGUUUUUGAAAGCGAAGAGGUUCGUGCAUAUGCUGUUAGUGUUCUUGAAAGAGCUGAUGAUGAAGAGCUCCAGUGUUACUUACUUCAACUUGUUCAAGCUCUUCGGUUUGAGCGCUCUGAUAAAUCUUGCCUUUGUCAAUUCCUUGUCCAACGCUCGUUGAACAACAUUGAGUUGGCAAGCUUUCUUCGUUGGUACGUUGCUGUGGAACUUUAUGAUCCUGCAUAUGCCAAACGUUUUUAUUGUACUUACGAGAUCCUGGAAGAGAAUAUGAUGAAGUUGGCAGGUGGUCCAAAUGGAGAGGAAGAUGGAUUCAAGUUGUGGCAGAGUUUGGUGCGUCAGACAGAAUUGACAGCUCAGUUAUGUUCUAUAAUGAGAGAUGUAAGAAAUGUGCGAGGCAACACUCAAAAAAAAAUUGAAAAGCUUAGACAACUUCUCUCUGGUCUUCUCAGUGAGCUAACCUAUUUUGAAGAGCCAAUACGAUCACCACUUGCACCUGGUGUCCUUAUCACUGGGAUUGUACCAUCAGAGUCAUCAAUAUUUAAAAGCGCACUCCAUCCAUUGCGUUUGACUUUCCGAACACAAUGUGGUGGAACUAGCAAAAUCAUAUUUAAGAAGGGUGAUGAUAUUCGGCAAGAUCAAUUGGUUGUUCAAAUGGUAUCUCUAAUGGAUCGACUACUUAAACUGGAAAACCUCGAUCUGCACUUAACUCCAUAUAAGGUGCUUGCUACUGGACAAGAUGAAGGCAUGCUUGAAUUCAUACCAUCACGAUCAUUAGCUCAGAUUCUCUCAGAGCAUCGAAGCAUUAUAAGCUAUUUGCAGAAGUUUCAUCCUGAUGAACAUGGACCAUUUGGGAUUACAGCCACUUGUCUUGAAACAUUUAUUAAAAGUUGUGCUGGAUACUCUGUCAUCACAUACAUAUUGGGAAUUGGGGACCGGUAAUCAUUUAGUUAUGUACAUUAAAAUGUUUAGAUAUGCAUCAUGCCACUUGGAUGAGCACUUUAAUCUUUCCAUUUUGUAGUGAAGCCUGUUGGGAAGAGUGGGGUGGGGAGGCCGUGUGCCUGUUUCUUCAAAUUUGCCAACACUAUACUAUAGACCAUGAUAUUAAGUUUUUUGGGUGUUCUGUUUAGAAAUAAAAUCUACAUAUUUCUGGGCAGUGUAAAAUAUCAGAUGAAUUCAUAAUUUCUUAUUGAAGUUUAGUAAUGCAAAAUUUAUAUCCUUUUUGAAGUGCAUAAACUUUUUUUUUGUGGAUCAUAUUUGCAUGAAGUUUAAAUUCAGAGAAAAAGAAAAGAUUGGUGCUUCCUCACAGUGUAAAACCAAGAAAUGCACUUUUUCCAUUCCCCUCCUUCCUAGGUUCACUUUGCUUAUGGAAAGUGUACUUCUGCCUCUUUAACCGCAAGAAAGUCAAAAUUUUAAAAAAGAAAAUGAAAAGAAAGGUAAGAAAGGUGAAAAUUAGAGUUGCUGUUUUAUGCUGUAUUGACGUGCAAUCUGACAUCUGAAAUUUCAUGCCUGUAUUCUGUUACAAUUCUAUUAUAUUUAUGAUUUUCUACAAGUGCCAUUCUACUUUUGUGCAAAAGUUACUUCAAUCUGCUAGCAUCUUAAAUUUCUGCUUCAUAAGGCUAUUGCUGUUUCAAACAUCUUCAUUUUUCUUGUUUUGCAGGCACCUUGAUAACCUUCUCCUUAGGGAUGAUGGGCGUCUUUUCCAUGUCGAUUUUGGUUUCAUUCUUGGACGGGAUCCUAAACCAUUUCCUCCACCAAUGAAGCUCUGUAAGGAAAUGGUUGAGGCUAUGGGUGGCGCAGAAAGCCAAUAUUAUACCAGGUUCAAAUCAUAUUGUUGUGAAGCAUACAACAUCCUCCGAAAAUCUAGUAACCUAAUCUUGAAUCUUUUCCACCUGAUAGCGGGUUCCAAUAUUCCGGACAUAGCUUUUGAUCCUGAAAAGAGCAUUCUUAAGCUUCAAGAGAAGUUUCGGUUGGAUCUGGAUGAUGAGGCUGCCAUACACUUCUUCCAGGAUCUUAUUAAUGAGAGUGUCAGUGCAUUGUUCCCACAAAUGGUUGAGACCAUUCAUCGCUGGGCUCAGUACUGGCGCUAACCCCAGAAGCAAAUUUGGUUUUAUCCAUGCUUCUGUAAAUAGCAAGUUAAGAUUUAGAUGUUGCAGGAUUGACAAGCUUUUAUAAAAUUAGUGAUGCUAAGAAUUGUAGCACACUCAAUCCAAACACGUGAUAUUUCCAAAAAUGUCAGUCUUUGUUUAUAGGCUAAGAUAAAGAAAAUAUUGUGUUUUUUUGUUCUUGGAUGAAUUUGUCUCAAAAUCCCCCUUAUCUGGCUUGAUUAUACAACUCAUUCUUCAAAUGGUUUUUAC